UGCCAGCAGCCGCGGUAACACGAACCGGACAAACGUUAUUCGGAAUCACUGGGCUUAAAGAGUACGUAGGCGGCCUGGUAAGUUGGGUGUGAAAUCCCACGGCUCAACCGAGGAAUUGCGCUCAAAACUACUAAGCUUGAGGGAGGCAGAGGUAAGCGGAACUAAUGGUGGAGCGGUGAAAUGCGUUGAUAUCAUUAGGAACACCUGAGGCGAAAGCAGCUUACUGGGUCUCUUCUGACGCUGAGGCACGAAAGCUAGGGGAGCGAACGGGAUUAGAUA
rnacentral:rRNA from 1 species